rnacentral:rRNA from 1 species
GACGAACGCUGGCGGCGUGCCUAAUACAUGCAAGUCGAGCGAGCUUGCCUAGAUGAAUUUGGUGCUUGCACCAAAUGAAACUAGAUACAAGCGAGCGGCGGACGGGUGAGUAACACGUGGGUAACCUGCCCAAGAGACUGGGAUAACACCUGGAAACAGAUGCUAAUACCGGAUAACAACACUAGACGCAUGUCUAGAGUUUAAAAGAUGGUUCUGCUAUCACUCUUGGAUGGACCUGCGGUGCAUUAGCUAGUUGGUAAGGUGACGGCUUACCAAGGCAAUGAUGCAUAGCCGAGUUGAGAGACUGAUCGGCCACAUUGGGACUGAGACACGGCCCAAACUCCUACGGGAGGCAGCAGUAGGGAAUCUUCCACAAUGGACGCAAGUCUGAUGGAGCAACGCCGCGUGAGUGAAGAAGGGUUUCGGCUCGUAAAGCUCUGUUGGUAGUGAAGAAAGAUAGAGGUAGUAACUGGCCUUUAUUUGACGGUAAUUACUAGAAAGUCACGGCUAACUACGUGCCAGCAGCCGCGGUAAUACGUAGGUGGCAAGCGUUGUCCGGAUUUAUUGGGCUUAAGCGAGUGCGGCCGUCCAAAAUUCUGAAUGUGAAACCUUCCGCUCAACCGAAAAUUGCACCAAACCUGUGAAUUGAAUGCAAAAAAGAAGUGGACUUCCGGGUAGCGGUGAUGUCUAUUAUUGGAAACCCAUGCGAAAGGGGUCCUGUGUCUCAUUACUCUAGAGCCAAACUGGGACCAAAGGAUAUAUAUCUCAAUAGCUCUAGCGCAGAUCACAUGAUAUAGGUUAUACGCCCUGCGCUGAAGAGAGACACGUAUACGCAUAUAUUCCACGUAGGGGAUAUGAG